UACGUAGGGUGCAAGCGUUGUCCGGAAUUAUUGGGCGUAAAGAGCUCGUAGGCGGUCUGUCGCGUCUGCUGUGAAAACUCAGGGCUUAACCCUGAGCUUGCAGUGGGUACGGGCAGACUAGAGUGCGGUAGGGGAGACUGGAAUUCCUGGUGAUAGCGGUGAAAUGCGCAGAUAUCAGGAGGAACACCGGUGGCGAAGGCGGGUCUCUGGGCCGUAACUGACGCUGAGGAGCGAAAGCAUGGGGAGCGAACAGG
rnacentral:rRNA from 1 species